UUUAAUUAUCUAUAUGAUGCUAUUUUAUAAUAUGUGAUAAACCCAUAGUCUUAAGAAAUGCUUUUAGAAUAAUGAUGAUGAUCAUUCUAAUGAGAUCUAAAUUCUUAAAAAGCUUAAAACUAAAAUAGUUCUCAAUCGUUGGAUUAUUAAAUUAGGGAUUAGUAAAUCCGGAUAGAUUGGUACAUACGUUGCUUGCUCAUUGGAUGAGGAUGAUUG
rnacentral:lncRNA from 1 species